rnacentral:rRNA from 1 species
UACGUAGGUCCCGAGCGUUGUCCGGAUUUAUUGGGCGUAAAGCGAGCGCAGGUGGUUUAUUAAGUCUGGUGUAAAAGGCAGUGGCUCAACCAUUGUAUGCAUUGGAAACUGGUAGACUUGAGUGCAGGAGAGGAGAGUGGAAUUCCAUGUGUAGCGGUGAAAUGCGUAGAUAUAUGGAGGAACACCGGUGGCGAAAGCGGCUCUCUGGCCUGUAACUGACACUAAGGCUCGAAAGCGUGGGAAGCAAACAGG